GGAAGCGGAAGACCAGAAGAGCAUCACACUGCCUCAAGUCCCAAAUUUGAUUCUGCUCCUGAUCCUGUGACUCAAAUUGUCAUUCUCUUUUACUGCUGUGGGGUGUGCUCUGGGCCCAGCUGACAGGACAUUCUUUGUACUCCACGUAUUUAUGCUGGUGGGAGUUGUAUGGCUAGUGCUUUGUGCUUUGUCUCAGAAAUUGUGUGGACUAAAUGUAAUAUGGGCAGUGAAUGGGUUUCUUCUGGAAGAUGUUAGGCCUGGAGGGUGGUUUGGGUUUUUACGAGUCUUUUUCUCAGAUUACAGAUUACGAAUGGAUGUUAUAAAACAGGCAGUGUUGACACCAUACAGUUUCUCCUAAGAAAUGUACAGAGAGUUCAAC
rnacentral:lncRNA from 1 species